rnacentral:ncRNA from 1 species
UAUCUGGUUGAUUCUGCCAGUAGUCAUAUGCUUGUCUCAAAGAUUAAGCCAUGCAUGUCUAAGUAUAAGCAAUUUAUACGGUGAAACUGCGAAUGGCUCAUUAAAUCAGUUAUCGUUUAUUUGAUAGUACCUUACUACAUGGAUACCUGUGGUAAUUCUAGAGCUAAUACAUGCUAAAAACCUCGACUUCGGAAGGGGUGUAUUUAUUAGAUAAAAAACCAAUGCCCUUCGGGGCUCCUUGGUGAAUCAUAAUAACUUAACGAAUCGCAUGGCCUUGCGCCGGCGAUGGUUCAUUCAAAUUUCUGCCCUAUCAACUUUCGAUGGUAGGAUAGUGGCCUACCAUGGUGGCAACGGGUAACGGGGAAUUAGGGUUCGAUUCCGGAGAGGGAGCCUGAGAAACGGCUACCACAUCCAAGGAAGGCAGCAGGCGCGCAAAUUACCCAAUCCCGACACGGGGAGGUAGUGACAAUAAAUACUGAUACGGGGCUCUUUUGGGUCUCGUAAUUGGAAUGAGUACAAUCUAAAUCCCUUAACGAGGAACAAUUGGAGGGCAAGUCUGGUGCCAGCAGCCGCGGUAAUUCCAGCUCCAAUAGCGUAUAUUAAAGUUGUUGCAGUUAAAAAGCUCGUAGUUGAACCUUGGGUCUGGCUGGCCGGUCCGCCUCACCGCGAGUACUGGUCCGGCUGGACCUUUCCUUCUGGGGAACCUCAUGGCCUUCACUGGCUGUGGGGGGAACCAGGACUUUUACUGUGAAAAAAUUAGAGUGUUCAAAGCAGGCCUUUGCUCGAAUACAUUAGCAUGGAAUAAUAGAAUAGGACGUGCGGUUCUAUUUUGUUGGUUUCUAGGACCGCCGUAAUGAUUAAUAGGGAUAGUCGGGGGCGUCAGUAUUCAGCUGUCAGAGGUGAAAUUCUUGGAUUUGCUGAAGACUAACUACUGCGAAAGCAUUCGCCAAGGAUGUUUUCAUUAAUCAGGGAACGAAAGUUAGGGGAUCGAAGACGAUCAGAUACCGUCGUAGUCUUAACCAUAAACUAUGCCGACUAGGGAUCGGGCGGUGUUUCUAUGAUGACCCGCUCGGCACCUUACGAGAAAUCAAAGUUUUUGGGUUCUGGGGGGAGUAUGGUCGCAAGGCUGAAACUUAAAGAAAUUGACGGAAGGGCACCACAAGGCGUGGAGCCUGCGGCUUAAUUUGACUCAACACGGGGAAACUCACCAGGUCCAGACAAAAUAAGGAUUGACAGAUUGAGAGCUCUUUCUUGAUCUUUUGGAUGGUGGUGCAUGGCCGUUCUUAGUUGGUGGAGUGAUUUGUCUGCUUAAUUGCGAUAACGAACGAGACCUCGGCCCUUAAAUAGCCCGGUCCGCAUUUGCGGGCCGCUGGCUUCUUAGGGGGACUAUCGGCUCAAGCCGAUGGAAGUGCGCGGCAAUAA